GUCUACGGCCAUGCUACCUUGAAUGUGCCCAAUCUCAUCUGAUCUCAGAAGUUAAGCAGGGUCGGGCCUGGUUAGUACUUGGAUGGAAGACCACCUAGAAAUACCAGGUGCUGUAGGCU
rnacentral:rRNA from 1 species